GUCCGGGUGAGGGGAGAUGAUUAUCCUGAGCGCUGGGCAGGGAGGCAGGCAGGCAUGGAGAAACUGAACAGACCAGCGCUGAAAUCCUAACAGGUGACGGCAGUGGCUUGACAACGUUCGUAGGUCCUCUGACAGUGGAGAAAGCACAAACAUCAGAAAACACAUGAAACUACUACGAACUGACAAAACUGUGGAAGCCCUGACUGACAAAGGUUUGCAGACGAUCUGGCGAAGUGUGAGUCUGAGCGCUGGUCUUAAGAAGCCGCCAAUUCCAAUUACGCUCAGGUGCAGCCUGUCAGCAUGAUGUGACGGCUCCGCCCAGGGGUGGAAAUGCCGGCCCUGUGGGAAGGCCCAGCACUCACCCGGACCAUGACAUGUUUCCCUCAAAGAUGCUUGUAGGUGGGAUCUGACUAUGGUCAGUCAACACCUGCGCCUUGCCGCCCUCAUCAGAUACCCAGCUGGGUUAAUGAGCUCGCCAAAGGAGAAGACUGAAAGCACUGACACGAGGAAGGAACGAGUCAGAGGACCAGUGAGUGUCAGCAGAACCACUGUUCAGGACGAGACCACAGACAUCAGCCACGACUGACCGUGUACUUAAUGAACACCUCAGACAGCAGAAAGCAGAGAAAGAGGAGGAGCAAGGAGAGCAGCCAUGAUGGAAGGACAGGUGACCAUGAUGAGAGAGACAGACAGAGUCUGGCUGGCAGUUCUCGCUGCAGUCUACCGGUAGCGUCUCCUUUCAGGCCAGGAUGAAUGUCACCGAGCAGUGACUAAGUUUGUGGUCAAAGGCAUUUGCCACAGCAGAUGCCCCCGAUUUUCGGUAAGUGAAUGUGUUUAAUUGUAGGCAGGGACAUUACUGGAUAUUCUUGUGUAAUUGCUACAGAAUAAUUAAUGUUAUACUUUGUUAUUGCUACAGAAUAAUAUUUAUUUUAUUAUUUUACAUUUACAAUUUUUUUUCCUGGGGACCCUGUGACACCCCAUUGAAGAGCCGUAGGCUGUGGAUCUCUUAAGAUCUCACUGUUGGGUUUGUAAGGCCAUGUUACUCCUAAAUUUCUAUCUUGUUCAAAGAGAAGAUAUAAAACAAAGUUCUAAGCUAAUCGACCUUAGUGUUCUCUUUUUAAAAAAUAAGAAUCGAUAAGAGAAUCGAUAAAUAAUCGAAUCGUUAAACAGAAUCGAAAAUGGAAUCGGAAUCGUGAAAAUCUUAUCAAUACCCAUCCCUAAUCUGCACUGAUUUAAAGUAUUUUAACCUGGUUCAUUGUUUC
ensembl:lncRNA